rnacentral:rRNA from 1 species
UACAGAGGGGGCAAGCGUUGUUCGGAAUUACUGGGCGUAAAGGGCGCGUAGGCGGCCUGUUAAGUCGAACGUGAAAUCCCAGAGCUCAACUCUGGAACUGCCUUUGAUACUGGCGACCUAGAGUCCGGAAGAGGUUAGUGGAAUUCCCAGUGUAGAGGUGAAAUUCGUAGAUAUUGGGAAGAACACCAGUGGCGAAGGCGGCUAACUGGUCCGGUACUGACGCUGAGGUGCGAAAGCGUGGGGAGCAAACAGG